CAGUUUCAGUUGCCAUAGCUGUUAAACAAACAUGACCUUGAAUCUGGCUUAUUUUUAACUUAGGCCUCCACUCUCUCAGUAAUUUACACACAAGUACCUCCAUUAUGUGGAUUCCAUAAGGUAACAGCAAGCAACUGAGUAAAUGAGUUUAUGAGGUACAAAUAAGUACACGUGCUACCACCUCUUGUGUAUUUGUCAGACUGCAGAGAAAUGCACUCACUUACCGUUACACCAUUGGAAUGGUUGCAUGAAAUUUGACUCCCAGAGCAGCAGCAGUAAAUUCAGGCCCUGUCAGGAGAAGGCUGGAGUCGAGCCAAGCUCGUGGGCUGGAGCUCCGGACACUGAAUCUGUUUGGAGCCUGGAUUCAGUCAACCUGAGCUGGAUUGCUUUCUUGCUGGGUUGCGUUAGCUCCUCCAAAAACCACCAUCAAGAUUUUCAGAUUUGCUUUAGAUUCCACAAAUCCUGGGGCGGCGCGGUUUUGUUGGCUCAGCACUCUGUGCUGCCCAGCAUUCCCAAAUCUGGAUUAACCACUCCGUGAAAAGAUUGGGAGAUUUGGGACUGGGGUUUGGACUGGGACCGAAGACCUCAUGUGCUCCUGGAUCCCAGUGAAAAUGAUGUCAUCACAGGAGAGGGAUGAAGAGACAAAGAAAUGCUGUUGAGAAGAAAUGAUUGUUUUUCAGAUGCCUCAUACCAUGUGGUAUUCAGGAGUUGUUAUUGUGAAAAGCUGGAUCUCACUCAGUCACAAUGUCACAAACAACACAGGCUGCUUGGUACCAGGAAAUACUUACAUUUACAGCAGAAAAGGGCCUCUUUGCCUUCACUUUGCGUCAGUAGUCUCGUCCCCUUCCCAAAUUAAAUGACAUCCACCGUUCAAAAUGACAGUCCUCGUCCAAGGAAGUCCUCUGAUCUUGCAAAGGGUAUUCCUCCUCAGAAUAGAAGCCAGAGAUGUGCUUCCCUCUAAGCCCAAACAAAGUGAGGACAGCUCCAUGCAGUCAGCAACAAUCCUCUAGCUGGGUUUGGUAUUUUGCUGGUGACUGUGUGUUUGUGUGUCAGUCAGUGCAUGUGUGUGUGCAUGCGUAUUUAUGUAUGUGUGUGUGUGUGGUGUGUGUGUGUGUGUGCGUAAGGGAGGAUCCUACUCUCCCUCUAACCAUCUGCUCCCUCAAUUGAGAAAGAAAAAAAUCAGAGACAAAGGUGGUGUGUUUGUGCAAGUAUGUCUGCCUGUGUUGUAUUCUCUCUCCCACCUCCAGCUGGCUUUGUCGUGGCAGGCUUCCCCCCGUCCUCUUUCAAUCCCUAAUGGUGCUCAGAGAGCCUGAAAUUUGCCUUUCCCUUCCUCCCCUUGCUCUUGCUCUUUCUCGGGUUUGUAAACAGAUCUCUGCUCAUGUGACCAGCCGUUUUGCCUCGCAACUCUCCUCUCCCUCAGCCCUCCCUCGCUUCCUCUAUCCUCCAAUCUGUAGGCAGAAGGAAGGCAGAAUGAGCCAGACACUGACGAAUGGGGCGCCUGCAAGCAUGCUGAUGUGUUUGUGUCUGUAUGCGCACACCCCUGUGCAUGUAUAUGUGAGAGGGAGACAAGAGAGACAUUUGCAGCAAAGUCAAGGGAGACCUUGGUCGGUAACAUGCGCAUGGCUGAUGUCCUGACAACCACAACAAAGCCAUCUGUGUGAAGUGGAGGUCAGCAAAAGAACAGAUGAUGCAACCUCAGUCAACAUUUCCUUCCUUCACAUGCGCACAGAUUGAAUUUUAAGACCCUCGGCAGAUUAUUUUUCAUGUUUGCUUUGUGUGAUCUAUAUAUAAACAUCAUGUCACUCUUGAGGAGGAAGAACAAGGCAGGUAGAGCAGCAAAGAGGGGGGGAGGUGUCUCUGUCGAUAGAGGGAACAGAGGAGGAAGCAAGAUGUGAAGGAAAAUAAAGUCAAGAGGAAAAAGAGGGAGAGACACAGAGAAAAAUCACAGCUUGGACAAAGACAUUGCUUGCACGUCCACCCCCACACCAGCGGCCCUGGCCGCCAAUUCGCUGAGGGAACAGCUGCUGGGCUACCGGGCGAGCUGUUAGAUGGUCAAGGGGAGUGCUGCUUCGCCAAUCCCCAGGGGAGGGAGGGAGGCUUCAAUGGGAUCAAUGCCAUUUUCAUUCACCCUCCCUUCCACCCCCCCUUGCUAGUAAUGACUUUACUGCUGAAUACUGAGCAACAGCUGGUUUGACUGCACAGAUGCAUGAGCAUAAAGUCAUACAGUCCUGAAUAUACACUGCAUGCAUUGUUGGGUGUUUACAGUUUUUAGAAUUAAUGUGUGUUGUUGCCACAGAGUUGUGUUGUCAUUGUUGGCAUGCUGAAGGGUGGUGGUUUUGGUAACAGCAUGCCCUCUUGUGAAUUAUGAUGAAAUCACCAUUGUAGCAAUAGCUUCCUGCAGAUAUACAGGAUAUGAAAGUGUUCACAGGUUAUUCAUAUCAGAGACAUUUUCAUAUUCAACUGUAACUGCAAAAUUGCUGUAAACAAUAAUUGAAAAGGCCUUUUCAAAUAUAGAAGACAAAUCCUCAGUGUUUUAGUAAAAAGGGUUUUACCAGGGAAUGACUGAUGAAACUGGGCACUGAGUAGGAAAAUGAGAAAGGGAGAAAGAUGCAAAUGUUGAUGUUUUGUUUGUGACAUGUAAAUAGUUUUGGCUGUUACAACCUUUUGUUUUUGCAUAAAUCAUAGUUAUGCCUGUUUGGCAAACACUGUAGAUUGUGGGGCUAUCUGCUCAUGACAAGAUUUAAGGCCAGAAACGUUCUUGCAAAGCAUAAUAAACUAACAUUACACACAUGUUCUAAUGGAAAUAUUUUUUUUAUGGCCAAUUUAUGAUAUCAACCACCAUAACCUUAUGAUUCCUUUUUUAUUUGUAACAGAAAGACUGUGUUAUAAACGUUACAGCUGGGGCUUGAAGUGCAUGCAGCUUUUUUCUUUGCUCAUAUGACCCCUGUUAACACUUUUUGGGGAAUAUUUGUGGUGGCCCCGCACUUGAGAGGACCACAAACAGUCAUUAGUGUUAACAAUGAGAACUCGCCAGUGUGUUGCAAUAAUGAUUAACUAUCACCCUGAUACAGCAGCUCUACUUCUGCAGAAUUUUGCUUAGUUCUGUCCCUCAGAGAGCAGUGUGUUUUCAGUAAUUCAAGACUUGUUGUAGAGAAAACACAGUUGCACCAACAGUAAAAACAAAACAAUCUUCUGAAUAAACUGAGCUGUAUGUGGACCAGAAA